UGACUUUUCCCCAUAAUGAUCUUUCUUGUGCCAGAAAAGAGACUUGAAGAUUGAGCAUUAUAGAUGAUAUCUAGUAAGGAACACUCUCUUCGACUCAGUUUCAAUUCAAUUCCUAAUCAAUUUUUAAUUCAAAUUCUCAUACUAGUGUUAAUGUAGUUUAAUUGUGACAUAAUCAUUUUAUGAUUGAGAUACCAACACCCCUGACUUAAAAUUCUUAUUCCGUUUCUACCUUUUAAGGUGAAAAUUGAAUACUCAUUAUCAAAGUAUUUAUGUUGUGGGGUAAUAAUCACUCAAACAAAAAGAUUAUGUAACUAAUUUGUAUAUUUAGACUAAUAUUAAGAAUCGAUUAGAAAAUGAAAUGAGAAAUGAUCUCCACACAACUUAAAUUCGCAACGAGAACUGAAAAUUGUUAGAGAAAUCUUUGGAUUGUUUCAGAACGAGGUAAAUAUUAACAAUUACGGACUGCCCAAAAGAUUGUAAACAAUUGUGGAUCAUAAGAGGCUGAGUGAUAGUCCAGAAGAAGUGUACUCUUUAGACAGCCAGAUAUAAGUCAAGCAUCACAAUAGCCAUUAUGGAUAUCUGCAACAAAUAACUAUGGAGAAAAAAUGAAGAAUGAAAUCAAUAUGGCUAGAGUACAAUAAAGAAUACAGGUUUGUGGAAGAAUUAAACUAGCAUACAGAUGACACAUCAAACACUAGAUUGAAAACACCAGAAGAAACAGUUGGCUCUUAUUAGUUUUUAGAAAAUGAACCAGAUCUGUCUACUCUAGGGGGUAUUGAGAGGUUGCUCUCAAGCAUAAACGAGAGAUCAUGCAUCUGUGACAUUAACAUCUCCACAUAAUCAGUCUUUGAUUCUCUUGUUUCAUUGAAAAAUCCAUCUGUGGCAACCUCCUCGGAGUUCUCCCCGACUCUUGCGGCAGUAUCAUUCAGUCUGAAAAAUAGGGAGUAAAUUAUGAAAGACUAAUUAGUCAACUUACAUAUUUUUUUUCUUUUAAUCAUUUCAAUGCAUGCUAUAACUUAUGCUGGAGACACUAAUUGUAAAAUUGAACAACCGAUUUCUUUAAGCAAAAGAAGCAUUCAUUUUGAUAAGCCAGCAAUCACUGGAUGCUACCAAUUUCUAUUGAGCAUGAGAAUAUAUUUGACACUAAAGAAAAGAAUCUAUAGUCAGUAAAACUCUAGUAUGGAGGAGGAAAGCAGAUAACCAUCUGUUGCUAUUGUCAAUGACUUCUUCAGAAGGAAAAUUAAAAUAACUCUACAGAUCUCGUAGUAGUCAUGCACACAAAAACAUGAGAACAUAUCGCCUGCACACACAAAUAGAGAAGGGAUUGGAAACCAAAGCCCCUA
rnacentral:lncRNA from 1 species